rnacentral:rRNA from 1 species
AUGGUGAAGACGUCCGCCGCGCCGAACAGCACGUACUGCGGCACCAUCCACCACAGGCUCAUCGGGACCGGCACCUUGGGCAGGUCCGCCAGGCCGGCGUCCGCCGCGAUCCGGAGCCGGCGCGUCUCCACGAGCGCCGCGACCACCAUCGACACGAGCGAGAGCACCAUCCCGACGCCGAUGCGCUGCAGCAUGGUGAUGCCCGAGGAGACGCCGGUGCAGCGGCGCGCCAGCGGCACGAUGGCGCGGUCGUAG